AGCUUUGCACAGUGGCAGUAUCAUAGCCAAUGAAGUUUAUCAGAAGUGCAAUUACUGCUAAUUGAAAAAAAAGACCCAUAGAAGAGAUGCUCCCUUUUCAGUGACCUCUAUAGCAGUGGGG
rnacentral:snRNA from 1 species